UACGUAGGGUGCGAGCGUUGUCCGGAAUUAUUGGGCGUAAAGAGCUUGUAGGCGGUCUGUCGCGUCUGCUGUGAAAAUCCGGGGCUCAACCCCGGACUUGCAGUGGGUACGGGGCAGACUAGAGUGUGGUAGGGGAGACUGGAAUUCCUGGUGUAGCGGUGAAAUGCGCAGAUAUCAGGAGGAACACCGAUGCGAAGGCAGGUCUCUGGGCCACUACUGACGUGAGAAGCGAAAAGCAUGGGG
rnacentral:rRNA from 1 species